rnacentral:rRNA from 1 species
GACGAACGCUGGCGGCGUGCCUAAUACAUGCAAGUAGGACGCAGUUGCGAACGGGUGAGUAACGCGUAGGUAACUGCCUAUGAGAGGGGGAUAACUAUUGGAAACGAUAGCUAAUACCGCAUACUAGUAGAUGGACCUGAGUUGUAUUAGCUAGUAGGUAGGGUAAUGGCCUACCUAGGCGAAGAUACAUAGCCGACCUGAGAGGGUGAUCGGCCACACUAGGACUGAGACACGGCCCAGACUCAUACGGGAGGAAGCCGUAGGGAAUCGUCGGCAAUGGGGGCAACCCUGAACGAGCAACGCCGCGUGAGUGAAGAAGGUUUUCGGUCCGUAAAGCUCUGUUGUUAAGGAAGCGUUACUUAACCAGAACGGUACGGCUAACCACGUGCCAGCAGCCGCGGUAAUAC